AAAGUUUCAGUUAUAAAAUGAGACCUAGAAAUAGUUCUAGGAUUGCUUCAAUGUUUUGAACAUUUUACAACGUUUAGAAAAGGCAAAUAUAAGUUUUCUGUACAAACUUCAAGUCACUACAAACAUUUUUAACUGAAUCAAAACAAAAUAAAAAUUUAAAACGUAUAUUUUGUAAAUUUUCUCUUUUUUCCCAUUUAUUGGGAAAAUCAAAAAAUGAUCUUCCUUAAUUGUCACCCCAGUGAGAUUUCUUUUAAGAAAAAAUGCUAUAAUUGAAAAUUGGGGCAAAAUUGCUGGUAGACAAGUUGUUCUCAGAAAAAAAAUAAACUUCAUUGUAAAACCAAUACAUUUCUCACUCUGCUCAGAAUCUAAUAAUGAAAAUUUACCUUCACAAUUUUCAAA